CUGGGCACUCUAAGGAGACUGCCGGUGACAAACCGGAGGAAGGUGGGGAUGACGUCAAGUCAUCAUGGCCCUUACGGCCUGGGCUACACACGUGCUACAAUGGUCGGUACAAAGGGUUGCCAAGCCGCGAGGUGGAGCUAAUCCCAUAAAACCGAUCGUAGUCCGGAUCGCAGUCUGCAACUCGACUGCGUGAAGUCGGAAUCGCUAGUAAUCGUGAAUCAGAAUGUCACGGUGAAUACGUUCCCGGGCCUU
rnacentral:rRNA from 1 species